rfam:Schistosoma margrebowiei strain Zambia genome assembly, scaffold: SMRZ_scaffold0001570
GCACUAAUGAGGAGUCCUAUAAUAGGACGAAACGGCCGUCCAGUGC